GGCCCAGACUCCUACGGGAGGCAGCAGUUGGGAAUAUUGGACAAUGGGGGGAACCCUGAUCCAGCCAUGCCGCGUGUGUGAAGAAGGCCUUAUGGUUGUAAAGCACUUUAAGCGAGGAGGAGGCUACUUUAGUUAAUACCUAGAGAUAGUGGACGUUACUCGCAGAAUAAGCACCGGCUAACUCUGUGCCAGCAGCCGCGGUAAUACAGAGGGUGCGAGCGUUAAUCGGAUUUACUGGGCGUAAAGCGUGCGUAGGCGGCUUAUUAAGUCGGAUGUGAAAUCCCCGAGCUUAACUUGGGAAUUGCAUUCGAUACUGGUGAGCUAGAGUAUGGGAGAGGAUGGUAGAAUUCCAGGUGUAGCGGUGAAAUGCGUAGAGAUCUGGAGGAAUACCGAUGGCGAAGGCAGCCAUCUGGCCUAAUACUGACGCUGAGGUACGAAAGCAUGGGGAGCAAACAGGAUUAGAUACCCUGGUAGUCCAUGCCGUAAACGAUGUCUACUAGCCG
rnacentral:rRNA from 1 species